UAAUACAGAGGGCCCGAGCGUUGCGCGGAAUCACUGGGCUUAAAGCGUGCGUAGGCGGAUCGUUAAGCGUUUUGUGAAAUCCCACGGCUCAACCGUGGAAUUGCAGGGCGAACUGGCGAUCUUGAGGUCGGUAGGGGUCGUUGGAACGCUAGGUGGAGCGGUGAAAUGCGUAGAUAUCUAGCGGAACGCCGAAGGUGAAGACAGGCGACUAGGCCGAUUCUGACGCUGAGGCACGAAAGCGUGGGGAGCGAACGGGAUUAGAUACCCCGGUAGUCCACGCCCUAAACGAUGUGCACUAGGUCGUGGGAGUUCUGACACUCUCUCGAUCGAAGAGAAAUUACUUAGUGCACCGCCUGGGGAGUACGGUCGCAAGGCUA
rnacentral:rRNA from 1 species